GAUGAACGCUGGCGGCGUGCCUAAUACAUGCAAGUCGAGCGAACAGACGAGGAGCUUGCUCCUCUGACGUUAGCGGCGGACGGGUGAGUAACACGUGGAUAACCUACCUAUAAGACUGGGGUAACUUCGGGAAACCGGAGCUAAUACCGGAUAAUAUAUUGAACCGCAUGGUUCAAUAGUGAAAGACGGUUUUGCUGUCACUUAUAGAUGGAUCCGCGCCGCAUUAGCUAGUUGGUAAGGUAACGGCUUACCAAGGCAACGAUGCGUAGCCGACCUGAGAGGGUGAUCGGCCACACUGGAACUGAGACACGGUCCAGACUCCUACGGGAGGCAGCAGUAGGGAAUCUUCCGCAAUGGGCGAAAGCCUGACGGAGCAACGCCGCGUGAGUGAUGAAGGUCCUCGGAUCGUAAAACUCUGUUAUUAGGGAAGAACAAAUGUGUAAGUAACUAUGCACGUCUUGACGGUACCUAAUCAGAAAGCCACGGCUAACUACGUG
rnacentral:rRNA from 1 species